rnacentral:rRNA from 1 species
AUGGAUCCUGGAGCUCCGACUCCCGGCGUGCGCCAUCCGAGGAGGGGCGGCGCGGGUCCGGCGCGGUCUGGGAGUCUCGUCCCUCCGCCCGCCGCUUCGGCCGGGGGGCCCCGUCGCCGGGUUCACGCGUCAUGGGGGCGAGAGAGCAUGGGGAAGGGGAGAGCACGGGGUGAGGGAGAGCAAGAUGGAGGCGGCGCGGAGGAAGUGGGGAGAGGGGUCGAGGUCGAACCGGACGGGUCCAACCCUAAAAAGGGCACGUGGGCCUGGCCCAACACUGUGUGGCCUAGCAACGGGCCCACCUGGGCCCGAGCCACCACUGGGGCCCAAGAUGGCCCGGGGUCAACCCCCAGCCCCAAAGGCCCAGACGGCCCGAGCUGGCCCAACCCCUCAGCCAUCAGGAGAGGGGCGGGUAGGGUUUCCCGCAAGCGCACCGGCGCCACCGCCCGACCGCCGACAGGGGCCGCAGCCGCCGAGGGACGGAAAGAUCGAAACUUGGAUGUGCGGACAACGACAGCCGGAGAAGUGGCGGGAGCCAGCUGCAGCAGAGGGGACGAGGUGCCGGAGACCCGGAAGUCGCCAGCGGGGAGCGCCGCCACGACAUCGCCGCACGGCCGAGCUCCGACCUCCCGGCCACCUCCCAAGCUCGCGCUCGGGCCCCACGACCGCGGCGACCGGCGACCUGGCCAGUGCCUGACGGAGGUGGGGAAGGUGGUGCGGGACGGGCGAGCUGCCGCGUCCGCAAGGGGAGGGGAGGGAGACGGGGAGCAUGGGACGGGGUGGAAGCGAGCUCAUCAGCGGCGACGGCCGCAGCCAGCCGGUCGCCGAAGCGGCGAGGGCGCCGAGGGAGGCCCGACGCGAGGGCCGCGGCCUCGGCUCCGUCCUCGUCGUCUGCCCAGUCUGCCCAACAGAUCCGCGCCGGAGAGGAUAGGGCGGUGCCCGCCGGGGUCGGCGUCGAGGGGAGCGGGGACGGCAGGCCGGGAGGGGAGGGAAGGGAACGGGGAAGCGCCGGAGGCCGCAGGCCGCGCGCCGGCGAGGGGGAGGCCACCCGUGAGCGGCGACGCCGCGGUCGCCACGGGGGUCGCCGCAGCCAUCUCCGUGUUACUCGCCAUCGCACAUCAGUGA